rnacentral:rRNA from 1 species
CGCAAUUCGCCCUUCGGGGUGCAGCAGGCGCGAAAACUUUACAAUGCUGGAAACAGCGAUAAGGGGACCUCGAGUGCCAGGUUACAAAUCUGGCUGUCGUGAUGCCUAAAAAGCAUUGCAUAGCAAGGGCCGGGCAAGACCGGUGCCAGCCGCCGCGGUAACACCGGCGGCUCGAGUGGUAACCGUUAUUAUUGGGUCUAAAGGGUCUGUAGCCGGCCGGAUAAGUCUCUUGGGAAAUCCAGCAGCUCAACUGUUGGGCUUUCAGGAGAUACUGUCUGGCUCGAGGCCGGGAGAGGUGAGAGGUACUUCAGGGGUAGGGGUGAAAUCUUGUAAUCCUUGAAGGACCACCAGUGGCGAAGGCGUCUCACCAGAACGGACCUGACGGCAAGGGACGAAAGCUAGGGGCACGAACCGGAUUAGAUACCCGGGUAGUCCUAGCCGUAAACGAUACUCGCUAGGUGUCGGCCACGGUGCGACCGUUGUCGGUGCCGUAGGGAAGCCGUGAAGCGAGCCACCUGGGAAGUACGGCCGCAAGGCUGAAACUUAAAGGAAUUGGCGGGGGAGCAC